rnacentral:rRNA from 1 species
GACGAACGCUGGCGGCGUGCCUAAUACAUGCAAGUCGAACGAGAGCGACCGGUGCUUGCACUGGUCAAUCUAGUGGCGAACGGGUGAGUAACACGUGGGUAACUUGCCCAUCAGAGGGGGAUAACAUCCGGAAACGGAUGCUAAAACCGCAUAGGUCUUCGAGCCGCAUGGCUUGAAGAGGAAAAGAGGCGCAAGCUUCUGCUGAUGGAUGGACCCGCGGUGCAUUAGCUAGUUGGUGAGGUAACGGCUCACCAAGGCCGUGAUGCAUAGCCGACCUGAGAGGGUGAUCGGCCACAUUGGGACUGAGACACGGCCCAAACUCCUACGGGAGGCAGCAGUAGGGAAUCUUCCGCAAUGGACGCAAGUCUGACGGAGCAACGCCGCGUGAGUGAAGAAGGUUUUCGGAUCGUAAAACUCUGUUGUUAGAGAAGAACAAGUGCUAGAGUAACUGUUAGCGCCUUGACGGUAUCUAACCAGAAAGCCACGGCUAACUACGUG